CCUACGGGUGGCUGCAGUGGGGAAUAUUGCACAAUGGGGGAAACCCUGAUGCAGCAACGCAGCGUGAGUGAAGAAGUAUUUCGGUAUGUAAAGCUCUAUCAGCAGGGAAGAAGAAAGACGGUACCUGACUAAGUAGCCCGGGCUAACUACGUGCCAGCAGCCGAGGUAAUACGUAGGGGGCAAGCGUUAUCCGGAUGUACUGGGGGUAAAGGGAGCGUAGACGGCUGUGCAAGUCUGAAGUGAAAGCCCGUGGCUCAACCGCGGAACUGCUUGGGAAACGGGAUAGCUUGAGUACUGGAGAGGCAGGCGGAAUUCCUAGUGUAGCGGUGAAAUGCGUAGAUAUUAGGAGGAACACCAGUGGCGAAGGCGGCCUGCUGGACAGAUACUGACGUUGAGGCUCGAAGGCGUGGGGAGCAAACAGGAUUAGAUACCCGAGUAGUC
rnacentral:rRNA from 1 species